rnacentral:rRNA from 1 species
UGGGGAAUAUUGCACAAUGGGCGCAAGCCCGAUGCAGCCAUGCCGCGUGUAUGAAGAAGGCCUUCGGGUUGUAAAGUACUUUCAGCGGGGAGGAAGGUGUUGUGGUUAAUAACCACAGCAAUUGACGUUACCCGCAGAAGAAGCACCGGCUAACUCCGUGCCAGCAGCCGCGGUAAUACGGAGGGUGCAAGCGUUAAUCGGAAUUACUGGGCGUAAAGCGCACGCAGGCGGUCUGUCAAGUCGGAUGUGAAAUCCCCGGGCUCAACCUGGGAACUGCAUCCGAAACUGGCAGGCUUGAGUCUUGUAGAGGGGGGUAGAAUUCCAGGUGUAGCGGUGAAAUGCGUAGAGAUCUGGAGGAAUACCGGUGGCGAAGGCGGCCCCCUGGACAAAGACUGACGCUCAGGUGCGAAAGCGUGGGGAGCAAACA